GUUGGAUCCUUUCUAUAUAGUUCUCUGCCAAAUGGCUGUGGAAUUUCUGUGUGAAAUCUCUUUUGACAGAGAACUCGCUAACUCUUGGGAGCAGCUCACCCCAUCUUUGAACAACACCAGCUAUUUGACCUUAUGAGAUGGCUUUUCCUGGAGCUUCCAUAACAUUAGUCCUAAUCUGUCCAUUAGGGCCACAGAGCACAAGUAUAAUCCCUCCUCCAAGCCAGCUCUUCAGAUACGCGAAGAUGAUAAAGGCAACUCCAUCAGGUCUUCUGCAAGUGGUGUGAGUCGUGCUCCCUGAAGAUUGCUCUGAUUGUCAAGGUUACUCAAAAGUCUGGUCCCUGGAUUCGAGUGCUGCCGUCCAGCACAUCGCUCCUGUGCAUCCCAAUGCUACCAUAAUCCACUGUGAGCUCAGGCAAUCAUGAGAAAAUGCAAGGGAGGAUUACCCACAGAGACAAUGGAACUCAUACUUCUUCGAGUCCCUUGCUUAGCACAGAGACCAAAUCCCUGUUCACCUCUCU
rnacentral:lncRNA from 1 species